rnacentral:rRNA from 1 species
AUGAACGCUAGCUACAGGCUUAACACAUGCAAGUCGAGGGGCAGCGGGAUUGAAGCUUGCUUCAAUUGCCGGCGACCGGCGCACGGGUGAGUAACGCGUAUCCAACCUUCCGCUUACUCGGGGAUAGCCUUUCGAAAGAAAGAUUAAUACCCGAUGGUAUGAUGAGAUUGCAUGAUAGCAUCAUUAAAGAUUUAUUGGUAAGCGAUGGGGAUGCGUUCCAUUAGGUAGUAGGCGGGGUAACGGCCCACCUAGCCUACGAUGGAUAGGGGUUCUGAGAGGAAGGUCCCCCACAUUGGAACUGAGACACGGUCCAAACUCCUACGGGAGGCAGCAGUGAGGAAUAUUGGUCAAUGGGCGAGAGUCUGAACCAGCCAAGUAGCGUGAAGGAUGAAGGUCCUACGGAUUGUAAACUUCUUUUAUAAGGGAAUAAAACCUCCCACGUGUGGGAGCUUGUAUGUACCUUAUGAAUAAGCAUCGGCUAACUCCGUGCCAGCAGCCGCGGUAAUACGGAGGAUGCGAGCGUUAUCCGGAUUUAUUGGGUUUAAAGGGAGCGCAGACGGGUCGUUAAGUCAGCUGUGAAAGUUUGGGGCUCAACCUUAAAAUUGCAGUUGAUACUGGCGUCCUUGAGUGCGGUUGAGGUGUGCGGAAUUCGUGGUGUAGCGUUGAAAUGCUUAGAUAUCACGAAGAACUCCGAUUGCGAAGGCAGCACACUAAGCCGUAACUGACGUUCAUGCUCGAAAGUGUGGGUAUCAAACAGGAUUAGAUACCCUGGUAGUCCACACGGUAAACGAUGGAUACUCGCUGUUGGCGAUAUACAGUCAGCGGCUUAGCGAAAGCGUUAAGUAUCCCACCUGGGGAGUACGCCGGCAACGGUGAAACUCAAAGGAAUUGACGGGGGCCCGCACAAGCGGUGGAGUAUGUGGUUUAAUUCGAAGCAACGCGAAGAACCUUACCAAAUCUUGACAUCCUCUGACCCCUCUAGAGAUAGAGUUUUCCCCUUCGGGGGACAGAGUGACAGGUGGUGCAUGGUUGUCGUCAGCUCGUGUCGUGAGAUGUUGGGUUAAGUCCCGCAACGAGCGCAACCCUUAAGCUUAGUUGCCAUCAUUAAGUUGGGCACUCUAAGUUGACUGCCGGUGACAAACCGGAGGAAGGUGGGGAUGACGUCAAAUCAGCACGGCCCUUACGUCCGGGGCUACACACGUGUUACAAUGGGCGGUACAGAAGGCAGCUACCUGGCGACAGGAUGCCAAUCCCGAAAGCCGCUCUCAGUUCGGACUGGAGUCUGCAACCCGACUCCACGAAGCUGGAUUCGCUAGUAAUCGCGCAUCAGCCACGGCGCGGUGAAUACGUUCCCGGGCCUUGUACACACCGCCCGUCAAGCCAUGAAAGCCGGGGGUACCUGAAGUGCGUAACCGCAAGGAGCGCCCUAGGGUAAAACCGGUAAUUGGGGCU